UAAGCAGAAUCACUGGCAUUGUUGCAGAGAAUACCAACGAUUUAUUUAUUUCAUCACGUAUGUUGUACUCCUAAGGCGCCGUCGCCAGACAUUAAUUCACACACACACACACACACACACACACACACACACACACACAUUAUAUAGUAGGCAACAUCACAGCACAGGCACGGUUUUUAAUUUAAUCCCCCGCCAUGCAUGGUUUGACGCCGAUCCAACGCAACCGAAUGAUCGUCCUUCUCAGGGAUUUGCUGCUGCGCGAGUUGAAGCUGGAACUGAAGUGCCGUGCCAGUGGCAAACGGACGGCGGGCAACGUGGCCAGAUACGAGGAUUGAGCAAACCAGUUUCACCCUUCUGCUCUUCCACACCUGCUGGCUGGCGCGCAUGCACACCUGUGGUCACAGAAUGGAGAAACACGAUAUCAUGGAACUUGACCUUUAUGCUUGUAUUCCCUCUGUAAACUAAUAUAAGAGCGUUUAGAUUAUUAAAGUAGUGAUCUAAACGCUCUUAUAUUAGUUUACGGAGGGAGUAAUAUUUACCGAUGAUUUGUCGACCAUUUCCUUUUUUUGCGAAUAGAUAUCUUAAUAAUAAGUGUCGCUAAUUUACUAAAUUAAAGACACUUAUUUUAGCAUGGAGGGCUAUUUACGAAGGUUCUGUCAGGAUCCAUAGAUUUCUUUUGGCGUUCUACCAUGCAUGACACCGUAAAGAAAAUUUGAACUUUUGUUUGGAACUAGAUUACUUACCGCUGCCGGGGUCAUUGUUCUUGGUAGGCGCAUGAACAAAGGAAGCGAAGGUUGCUGCCGAUGAUCCUGGGAUGCCCCGAGCUAACGCUGGAGUGAAGAGAGUCCGCUGGCCGGAAAGUACAAGCAGGGAGCAGAGGCCGAACAACAAGUACUUGGAACCCAUCGCUUCACAGGCUACUUUUGCUAGGAGGAGCCUUUUCUUUUUUCCGGGAGGAGGGGAUGAUGCAAUGUUUGAUGC
rnacentral:lncRNA from 1 species